rnacentral:rRNA from 1 species
CCUACGGGAGGCAGCAGUCGAGAAUCAUUCACAAUGGGGGAAACCCUGAUGGUGCGACGCCGCGUGGGGGAAUGAAGGUCUUCGGAUUGUAAACCCCUGUCAUGUGGGAGCAAAUUAAAAAGAUAGUACCACAAGAGGAAGAGACGGCUAACUCUGUGCCAGCAGCCGCGGUAAUGCAGAGGUCUCAAGCGUUGUUCGGAAUCACUGGGCGUAAAGCGUGCGUAGGCUGUUUCGUAAGUCGUGUGUGAAAGGCGCGGGCUCAACCCGCGGACGGCACAUGAUACUGCGAGACUAGAGUAAUGGAGGGGGAACCGGAAUUCUCGGUGUAGCAGUGAAAUGCGAAGAUAUCGAGAGGAACACUCGUGGCGAAGGCGGGUUCCUGGACAUUAACUGACGCUGAGGCACGAAGGCCAGGGGAGCGAAAGGGAUUAGAUACCCCUGUAGUC